GAUGAACGCUAGCUACAGGCUUAACACAUGCAAGUCGAGGGGUAACGAGAGGAAAGCUUGCUUUCCUUGUCGACGACCGGCGCACGGGUGAGUAACGCGUAUCCAACCUGCCCCCAACUAAGGAAUAACCUUGCGAAAGUAAGACUAAUACCUUAUAAUUUCCUCAGAUGACAUCUGACGAGGAAUAAAGAUUUAUCGGUUGUGGAUGGGGAUGCGUCUGAUUAGCUUGUUGGCGGGGUAACGGGCCACCAAGGCAACGAUCAGUAGGGGUUCUGAGAGGAAAGUCCCCCACAGUGGAACUGAGACACGGUCCAAACUCCUACGGGAGGCAGCAGUGAGGAAUAUUGGUCAAUGGGCGAAAGCCUGAACCAGCCAAGUAGCGUGCAGGAUGACGGCCCUAUGGGUUGUAAACUGCUUUUAUACAGGAAUAAAGUUAGCCACGUGUGGUUAUUUGUAGGUACUGUAUGAAUAAGGACCGGCUAAUUCCGUGCCAGCCGCCGCGGUAA
rnacentral:rRNA from 1 species